UAUGUGGCCCUCAACAGCUCACCUCAAUGUGUUAAGCGGCCCUCCAGCCGAAAUAAUUGCCUACCCGUGCCCUAAAGGAAUAAAAUCUAAGAGCAGAAGGAAUUUUCUGCAUUCAAGAUUAAAACAUAAUCAAGCAUGGAAAGAAACGAAGUAGGGCUCUCUCUGUUGGAGCUGGAGACAACCUGAGAAGGACUGCAUUAUGGUGCAGAGUAGGAGCAUCUUAGUUGAAGGUGUACUUCCCUUUCUAUUAUAAGGCCUAUUUUGUUUCUGCCUCCCUCACAGUUUAUGCAUGUAUAUCAACUCUACCAAAAAUUAAUCAGGCUGCCUGGAUACUGGUGUUGUGGAUUCCCUAGAAAAUUUGAGUUUCCACAGUUUGAGGCCAGUUAGGCAGGGAGUUUGCAAGAGACGGGAGCUAAAUUAAAGAAUACACUGACUGCUGGAAGAUUCAUUGUUUUGAUCUCCCCCCUCAAUGCCAAGUGCUUUAAGAGAUACCUAACACUUCUGGUUUUUUUGCUUCAUAGCUCAAGAACAGCUUGACCUAGAAACUCCACAUUUGUUUUGCUGAGCUUGCCUUGUACAGAAGGGGGACUUUCAGCAUCGUCAGGGGCUAAUGCCCUGGGCCCAGUUCCAGUGCCCUUCAUGUGAAGUGAGGGAGUGAGGUGAGCAGCUGAGAGAGCAGUAUCCACACAGGAUGGUGAACAGUUGCUAGGAUAUCUUGGCGUUUGCGAGAUGGAUCAAAAGAGUUGUAUAUAGCCUGUCCUUCCCUCACAUAUUCCCGGUUAUGUGAAACCUCAGCCUUUGCUGCUUGCUUUAAGAGCAGUUAACAAGAAUCAGGUGGUGCCCCAGAGUAACAGGUUCUUAGCACAAGUUGAGUGAGCAGUAGUUUUCCAGCAUGACUUCCCAGAAGCCACCAAACCUUUAGGAAAGAUGGUGUUACCCAUAAGCAAUCUUCACUGCAAGGAGAGAAGAACACAAUCUAAAGCUGUACUUGGAGAAGGGGUGACACUAUUGAUUAGAUUCUGGUGAGUAUUCAUUUCUCUGGCUGCAAUUUCAGUAACACAACCAAUAACACAAACACCUAGCUAAAUGUUCUGGCAGGGACCCAGGUUACUAAACUGGAUUCUUAACAUAGUAUGCAAGCACUUCCAUGGAUGAUGGAGUUAACAUUAACAUUUGAUUACUCAAUAACUAAAAGAUGGGAGCAAGUUCAGGUCAUGUCUGUUCACUUGUAUGAAAGGAUCACUUUAUGCAGAGCUCCUUUGUGCCUGUUCAGUUUGAACACUUAUUAAAUGUAAGUAUCCAGUACAGCAAACCCCACAGAUCAGAUGUGUGUAUGAAAGCAAAAUCUCCCAUUUCAGAAAGGAAACACCAAGUUCUGUUCAGCAUUUUGGCAUUGAGGCAGAUCAGCCCCUUUAUAAGUGGCUCCAGCUGGCGCUCCCAUGCGCUGUAACAUUCUUUACCUUCAGUGAAGUGGUGUGCAGAAAAGUAAGAAAUGCUGUCCUGUCUUUGAAAAAAAAUCAGAGUAGCAGCUCGUAACCUGACCCUUAAAACAGAAUUGUAGCUGAGAAAUCUACACGAGGGUUGACUACAUCAGCACCAAAAGGCAAUAGCUUUUGGAAAUGACUUUUUUGAACCAGGUAGCUGAAUAAGCAAUUAAAAAAA